rnacentral:rRNA from 1 species
GGGAAGGUAAACUGCCAGUUCACCGGAUCAUAUUUGAAACCUAGUGAUUUAUGAGUUACGUGGCGGACGGGUGUGUAACGCGUGGAUAACCUGCCGUAUACCGGGGGAUAACACUUAGAAAUAGGUUGCUAAUACCGCAUAAGCGCACGGCUCCGCAUGGGGCAGUGUGAAAAACUCCGGUGGUAUACGAUGGAUCCGCGUCUGAUUAGCUAGUUGGCGGGGUAACGGCCCACCAAGGCAGCGAUCAGUAGCCGGCCUGAGAGGGUGGACGGCCACAUUGGGACUGAGACACGGCCCAAACUCCUACGGGAGGCAGCAGUGGGGAAUAUUGCACAAUGGGGGAAACCCUGAUGCAGCGACGCCGCGUGAGUGAAGAAGUAUCUCGGUACGUAAAGCUCUAUCAGCAGGGAAGAAAAUGACGGUACCUGACUAAGAAGCCCCGGCUAACUACGUGCCAGCAGCCGCGGUAAUACGUAGGGGGCAAGCGUUAUCCGGAUUUACUGGGUGUAAAGGGAGCGUAGACGGCAGCACAAGUCUGGAGUGAAAUCCCGGGGCUUAACCCCGGAACUGCUUUGGAAACUGUGCGGCUGGAGUGCAGGAGGGGUAAGCGGAAUUCCUAGUGUAGCGGUGAAAUGCGUAGAUAUUAGGAGGAACACCGGUGGCGAAGGCGGCUUACUGGACUGUAACUGACGUUGAGGCUCGAAAGCGUGGGGAGCAAACAGGAUUAGAUACCCUGGUAGUCCACGCCGU